rnacentral:rRNA from 1 species
AUGUUCCAACGACACCCACAAUCGUUGAACUGCUACACGAACAAUCUUCCUUUUACUCGAGUACUCCUAUAUGCAAGGACUUCCACAGUUGCUAAACUGCUACGCGAACACCAGUUGCCCCCUCGCCGCCGCCGGUGGUCACCUCCGGCAAAGCCCGGUCUGGUGACGGCGGAGGCGGGGAUUUCGCCCUUCGCGGCCAUUUCGUGGCGGCUGCCCGUCGGCUUGCAGCUGCGGCUGCGCCAGGGCGGCGGCCCUAGUCCGGCCGAGCAGGCCGCUCUCUGCCGCGGUGGAGGUCGGCCAGGGGGCGGCUCAGCCGUGGUGGCUGGCCAUGGCGGAUCUCGGGCGCGGUGUGUUGGGGUUGUCCCCUCCGGUGGAAGGCAGUGGUGUGCUGCGGCUGGGUGUGGUGGGAGACGUGGUGCUGCCGUCUGGUCAGUGCCUGCGUUGCGUAGGCUCCGGCAGCCCUGGCCAGGGUUUCCUCGGAGGGCUGCGCUGGUGAAGGCAUGGGGCGGGCCCUGGUGCAGAGGUGCUGGUCAUCUUGGGUGGUUGCUGGUUGUACCGUAG